UGUCCUCUCCUAUGGAUUUAUCCCCUGC
rnacentral:piRNA from 1 species